rnacentral:misc_RNA from 1 species
UCACCCCUCAAGCUCCCCCAGGAUUGGUGUUGGACGGUUUAGCCUUGGUGACGAGGCCCGUUUUAAAGUCAAUGACGGCGGCCUGUUUGAACCCCCGGUACACCGAGCUUCUUAACUGAGCACGUAUCGGUUGAAGGGUAGGCAGAACCCGGUCUUCUUCCUUAACCGGAAACUCUUUCUAA